rnacentral:rRNA from 1 species
AGUUUGAUCCUGGCUCGAUUGAACGCUGGCGGCAGGCCUAACACAUGCAAGUCGAGCGGUAGCACAGAGAGCUUGCUCUCGGGUGACGAGCGGCGGACGGGUGAGUAAUGUCUGGGAAACUGCCUGAUGGAGGGGGAUAACUACUGGAAACGGUAGCUAAUACCGCAUAACGUCGCAAGACCAAAGUGGGGGACCUUCGGGCCUCAUGCCAUCAGAUGUGCCCAGAUGGGAUUAGCUAGUAGGUGGGGUAACGGCUCACCUAGGCGACGAUCCCUAGCUGGUCUGAGAGGAUGACCAGCCACACUGGAACUGAGACACGGUCCAGACUCCUACGGGAGGCAGCAGUGGGGAAUAUUGCACAAUGGGCGCAAGCCUGAUGCAGCCAUGCCGCGUGUGUGAAGAAGGCCUUCGGGUUGUAAAGCACUUUCAGCGGGGAGGAAGGCGGUGAG